GACGUUAUAAUAGAGUGACAAAGUUCCCUUAGUGAGGAGGUUGGGGCGGAUGGAUGGGACAUAAAAAACGUUGGACUUUCACACGGAAGACAAAAGAACACACAACUUCCUGCAUUGGCACUGGAUGUAAAGUGUGCAGAAUCGUUGAAUAAGGAAGUAAUUCCUCGGAUACUGGGCUUGAUGAAGACCAUGUGGUAUAGUCAGAAGCUCCUGAAAAAGAAAGAGACGGCUGUGAGCCACUUCUCCUGACAAUACAGCUCAUAGUGGCAAUGUCGCAAUGCAGCAGCACCGAGGUGGACGAGCAGACAGACAGAAAGACAGCCACAGUGAACCAGGAUGGGCCGAAAAGGGAGUAUAUCUUCUCACAUCUGAUGUCUGGGGCUACUGUGCUGACCGGCCAUCCUGUUCAGCACUCAUUGUAACUGAAUCACUAUCUCGCCCUCUCUAUCUCCCUCUGUCAUCACAUUCAGCAGACUCAGGUCUGUCUAUCUGUGUGGCUUGUUAGAAGCUGCAUUUGGCCCGAGAGUAAAAUUUUUCUGGGAGGUAAAAUAAUUGAUUGGGAAGUGUGGCAUAAAAUGACAUACACUUUGGGGUGCAUACUUGUUGCUCACUGGAUUUUGGUGUUUAGAGAAGAAGAGAAGCUACCCGGAGAAGAGCCAUUCACACCCCUCUUUUAUGAAAUUAUUCUCAUGGGUAUGAUUAGGGGGGGCUUAUCAAGCAGAAAAGCAACUAAUGUGUGGAGUCCGCUUCCU